AAGAAUACAACCAUCUCUCCCUCUCCAAACAUAUUUGCCUUGAUUACAACAGCAUAGGUCUCUUCUCCCACUCACAAACCACUCCAAAUGGCUCCUCUUCUUCUUUAUCACCUCAAUGUUCGGAUUUUCCAUUCUUUAGUACAUUGUACAAGUCGGUCAAUCUCAAGUCACAGCUACUUCAUGGUGGCCCAGGUUCAGAAUUGGAAUCUGCAAUCAAGAAAAGAAUUAUGGAUUUCCUUAAUAUCUCUGAAAAUGAUUAUUGCAUGGUUUUUACUGCAAAUAGAUCAUCAGCUUUUAAGCUUGUGGCAGAGUCUUAUCCCUUCCGGUCAAGUCGAAAGCUUCUGACAGUUUAUGACUACGAGAGUGAGGCAGUGGAAGGUAUGGCGAGUUUCUCAGAGAAAAGAGGAGCACGAGUCAUGUUAACUGAAUUUAAAUGGCCAAGAUUUAGGAUUCACUCGAAAAAAUUGAGGAAGAUGUUGGUGCGGAAGAAAAAAAAAGAAGAGACAUGGAGGAUUGUUUGUGUUCCCUCUUCAGUCUAGAAUGACUGGAGCCAGUUAUUCUUUUCAAUGGAUGACCACCGCACAGGAAAAUGGGUAGCAUGUUUUGCUUGAUGCUUGUGCAUUGGGGCCAAAGGACAUGAACAGCUUUGGGCUCUCCCUCAUCCACCCUGACUUCCUAGUUUGCUCCUUCUACAAGGUUUUUGGGGAAAACCCAACUGGAUUUGGAUGUCUAUUUGUCAAGAAAUCCACUGUAUCAGUCUUGGAAGACUCCACAUCCACAGCUAUGGUUAAUCUUAUCCCAGCAAAAAAACUGUUUGUGUUACCUGAAGAUUCUUCCGCGGACACAGAACUCGAACAAGCAUCCAGAUUAUGGGAACAAGAAGAUGACUUGGCUACGACGAGCUCUUUCUCGGCUGCUAC
rnacentral:lncRNA from 1 species